rnacentral:rRNA from 1 species
GGAGGAUCCAAGCGUUAUCCGGAUUUAUUGGGUUUAAAGGGUGCGUAGGCGGUUAGAUAAGUUAGAGGUGAAAUUCCGGUGCUUAACACCGGCGCUGCCUCUAAUACUGUUUGACUAGAGAGUAGUUGCGGUAGGCGGAAUGUAUGGUGUAGCGGUGAAAUGCUUAGAGAUCAUACAGAACACCGAUUGCGAAGGCAGCUUACCAAGCUAUAUCUGACGUUGAGGCACGAAAGCGUGGGGAGCAAACAGGAUUAGAUACCCUGGUAGUCCACGCAGUAAACGAUGAUAACUCGUUGUCGGCGAUACAAUGUCGGUGACUAAGCGAAAGCGAUAAGUUAUCCACCUGGGGAGUACGUUCGCAAGAAUG